rnacentral:rRNA from 1 species
UGGGGAAUUUUCCGCAAUGGGCGAAAGCCUGACGGAGCAAUGCCGCGAGGAGGUGGAAGGCCUACGGGUCGUCAACUUCUUUUCUCGGAGAAGAAACAAUGACGGUAUCUGAGGAAUAAGCAUCGGCUAACUCUGUGCCAG